UAACAUAUUCUAUGAGCCUAUCGGUUGC
rnacentral:sRNA from 1 species